rnacentral:rRNA from 1 species
AUUGGACGCUGGCGGAAUGCUUUACACAUGCAAGUCGAACGGCAGCACGGACUUCGGUCUGGUGGCGAGUGGCGAACGGGUGAGUAAUACACCGGAACGUGCCCAGUCGUGGGGGAUAACGUAGCGAAAGCUACGCUAAUACCGCAUACGAUCUAAGGAUGAAAGCGGGGGAUCGCAAGACCUCGCGCGUUUGGAGCGGCCGAUGGCAGACUAGGUAGUUGGUAGGGUAAAGGCCUACCAAGCCGACGAUCUGUAGCUGGUCUGAGAGGACGACCAGCCACACUGGGACUGAGACACGGCCCAGACUCCUACGGGAGGCGGCAGUGGGGAAUUUUGGACAAUGGACGCAAGUCUGAUCCAGCCAUUCCGCGUGCAGGAUGAAGGCCCUCGGGUUGUAAACUGCUUUUGUACAGAACGAAAAGGCUCUGGUUAAUACCUGGAGCUCAUGACGGUACUGUAAGAAUAAGCACCGGCUAACUACGUGCCAGCCGCCGCAGUAA